rnacentral:rRNA from 1 species
UACGUAGGGUGCGAGCGUUAAUCGGAAUUACUGGGCGUAAAGCGUGCGCAGGCGGUGAUGUAAGUCAGUUGUGAAAUCCCCGGGCUCAACCCGGGAACUGCAUCUGUGACUGCAUCGCUGGAGUGCGGCAGAGGGGGAUGGAAUUCCGCGUGUAGCAGUGAAAUGCGUAGAUAUGCGGAGGAACACCGAUGGCGAAGGCAAUCCCCUGGGCCUGCACUGACGCUCAUGCACGAAAGCGUGGGGAGCAAACAGG